ACACACACAGAGAGAAGAGAGGAAUGGGCAUAGCCACGUAAAACAGAUAUACUAAAGAUAUAACAACUACACACAGAGAGAAGAGAGGAAUGGGCAUAGCCACGUAAAACAGAUAAACUACACACAGAGAGAAGAGAGGAAUGGGCAUAGCCAUGUAAAACAGAUAUACUAAAGAUAUAACAACUACACACACACACACAGAGAGAAGAGAGAAAUGGGCAUAGCCAUGUAAAACAGGUAUACUAAAGAUAUAACAACUACACACACACACAGAGAGAGAAGAGAGGAAUGGGCAUAGCCACGUAAAACAGGUAUAACAACUACACACACAGAGAGAAGAGAGGAAUGGGCAUAGCCACGUAAAACAGGUAUAACAACCACACACAGAGAGAAGAGAGGAAUGGGCAUAGCCACGUAAAACAGGUAUACUACAGAUAUAACAACUACACACAGACACAGAGAGAGAAGAGAGGAAUGGGCAUAGCCACGUAAAACAGGUAUAACAACUACACACACAGAGAGAAGAGAGGAAUGGGCAUAGCCACGUAAAACAGGUAUACUACACACAGAGAGAAGAUAGGAAUGGGCAUAGCCACGUAAAACAGGUAUAACAACUACACACACAGAGAGAGAAGAGAGGAAUGGGCAUAGCCAUGUAAAACAGGUAUAACAACUACACACACAGAGAGAAGAGAGGAAUGGGCAUAGCCAUGUAAAACAGGUAUAACAACUACACACACAGAGAGAAGAGAGGAAUGGGCAUAGCCAUGUAAAACAGGUAUAACAACUACACACACAGAGAGAAGAGAGGAAUGGGCAUAGCCAUGUAAAACAGGUAUAACAACUACACACACAGAGAGAAGAGAGGAAUGGGCAUAGCCAUGUAAAACAGGUAUAACAACUACACACACAGAGAGAAGAGAGGAAUGGGCAUAGCCAUGUAAAACAGGUAUAACAACUACACACACAGAGAGAAGAGAGGAAUGGGCAUAGCCAUGUAAAACAGGUAUAACAACUACACACACAGAGAGAAGAGAGGAAUGGGCAUAGCCAUGUAAAACAGGUAUAACAACUACACACACAGAGAGAAGAGAGGAAUGGGCAUAGCCAUGUAAAACAGGUAUACUACACACAGAGAGAGAGAAGAGAGAAAUGGGCAUAGCCAUGUAAAACAGGUAUACUAAAGAUAUAACAACUACACACAGAGAGAAGAUAGGAAUGGGCAUAGCCACGUAAAACAGGUAUACUAAAGAUAUAACAACUACACACAGAGAGAAGAGAGGAAUGGGCAUAGCCACGUAAAACAGAUAUACUAAAGAUAUAACAACUACACACAGAGAGAAGAGAGGAAUGGGCAUAGCCACGUAAAACAGAUAUACUAA